rnacentral:rRNA from 1 species
ACUCAAAGGAAUUGACGGGGACCCGCACAAGCAGCGGAGCAUGUGGUUUAAUUCGAAGCAACGCGAAGAACCUUACCAGGGCUUGACAUCCCCCUGACAUUGCCGUAACGGGCAAAUCCUACGGGCAGGGGAGACAGGUGGUGCAUGGUUGUCGUCAGCUCGUGUCGUGAGAUGUUGGGUUAAGUCCCGCAACGAGCGCAACCCUUGUCAUUAGUUGCCAUCAUUAAGUUGGGCACUCUAAUGAGACUGCCGGGGAUAACUCGGAGGAAGGUGGGGACGACGUCAAAUCAUCAUGCCCCUUAUGUCCUGGGCUACACACGUGCUACAAUGGCCGGAACAGAGGGCAGCGAAGCCGCGAGGCACAGCAAAUCCCAAAAACCGGCCCCAGUUCGGAUUGCAGGCUGAAACUCGCCUGCAUGAAGCAGGAGUUGCUAGUAAUCGCAAAUCAGCAUGUUGCGGUGAAUGCGUUCCCGGGUCUUGCACACACCGCCCGU